UAGGGAAUCUUCCACAAUGGACGCAAGUCUGAUGGAGCAACGCCGCGUGAGUGAAGAAGGUUUUCGGAUCGUAAAGCUCUGUUGUUGGUGAAGAAGGAUAGAGGCAGUAACUGGUCUUUAUUUGACGGUAAUCAACCAGAAAGUCACGGCUAACUACGUGCCAGCAGCCGCGGUAAUACGUAGGUGGCAAGCGUUGUCCGGAUUUAUUGGGCGUAAAGCGAGCGCAGGCGGAAUGAUAAGUCUGAUGUGAAAGCCCACGGCUCAACCGUGGAACUGCAUCAGAAACUGUCAUUCUUGAGUUCAGAAGAGGAGAGUGGAAUUCCAUGUGUAGCGGUGGAAUGCGUAGAUAUAUGGAAGAACACCAGUGGCGAAGGCGGCUCUCUGGUCUGCAACUGACGCUGAGGCUCGAAAGCAUGGGUAGCGAACAGG
rnacentral:rRNA from 1 species